UUUGAAAGAGUUUAAUUUAUAUACAUCGUCAGUGUACAAAAGUUUUAAUUGAUGUGACAACGUAUUAUUGGAUGCAUGUAUAACAUUUUCAUACACUGACGGUGUAUAUAAAUUAAACUCAUUUUGAAA
rnacentral:pre_miRNA from 1 species